rnacentral:rRNA from 1 species
UACGGAGGGGGGCUAGCGUUGUUCGGAAUUACUGGGCGUAAAGCGCACGUAGGCGGCUUUUUAAGUUUGGUGUGAAAUCUCCCGGCUCAACUGGGAGGGUGCGCCGAAUACUGAGAAGCUAGAGUGUGGGAGAGGAAAGUGGAAUUCCUGGUGUAGCGGUGAAAUGCGUAGAUAUCAGGAGGAACACCGGUGGUGUAAACGGCUUUCUGGACCAUAACUGACGCUGAGGCACGAAAGCGUGGGGAGCAAACAGG